CCUACGGGAGGCAGCAGUAGGGAAUCUUUCACAAUGGGCGAAAGCCUGAUGGAGCAACGCCGCGUGCAGGAUGAAGGCCUUCGGGUUGUAAACUGCUUUUAUAAGCGAGAAAAAUGAGGGUAACUUAUGAUUAAGGAUGGGAAAACUACGUGCCAGCAGCCGCGGUCAUACGUAGGAUCGGAGCAUUACCCGGAGUGACUGGGUGUAAAGAGUUGCGUAGGUGGCAUAAUAAGUAGCUAGUGAAAUCUGGUGGCUCAACCAUUCAGACUAUUAGCUAAACUGUUAAGCUCGAGAGCGUUAGGGGUAACUGGAAUUUCUAGUGUAGGAGUGAAAUCCGUAGAUAUUAGAAAGAACACCAAUAGCGUAGGCAGGUUACUGGGACGGUUCUGACACUAAGGCACGAAAGCGUAGGGAGCAAACGGGAUUAGAUACCCGUGUAGUC
rnacentral:rRNA from 1 species